rnacentral:rRNA from 1 species
AUGCCAUGCCGGCCGUCGGAUUGGGCACCUGGAGGGCUGGAUCGGAUACUGCCCACUCCGUUCAGACGGCCAUCACCGAGGUGUACAAACUUGGUCCCUGAGAGGGUGCGUCCAGCAUUAGAGAACACGCUCAAGGAUCUACAGUUGGACUACAUCGAUCUUUACCACAUCCAUUGGCCGUUCCGGCUGAAAGAUGGGGCACACAAGCCUCCGGAAGCAGGGGAGGUGCUGGAAUUCGACAUGGAGGGGGUGUGGAAGGAGAUGGAGAACCUUGUCAAGGACGGGCUGGUUAAGGACAUCGGCGUCUGCAACUACACGGUGACCAAGCUCGACCGGCUGCUACGGUCUGCAAAGAUUCCGCCGGCCGUUUGCCAGAUGGAAAUGCACCCUGGCUGGAAGAACGACAAGAUGUUCGAGGCCUGCAAGAAGCGCGGGAUCCAUGUCACCGCUUACUCCCCACUGGGUUCUUCAGAGAAGAACCUUGCGCAUGACCCGGUUGUUGAGAAGGUGGCCAACAAGCUGAACAAGACCCCGGGGCAGGUGCUCAUCAGGUGGGCUCUGCAGAGGGGAACGAGCGUCAUUCCCAAGUCGAGCAAAGACGAGAGGAUCAAGGAGAACAUCCAGGUGUUCGGGUGGGAGAUCCCUGAGGAGGACUUCAAGGUCCUGUGCAGCAUCAAAGAUGAGAAGCGUGUGCUGACCGGGGAGGAGCUGUUCGUGAACAAGACCCACGGGCCAUACAAGAGCGCGGGCGUCCGAAGUCUGGGAUCACGAGAACUGAGCUCCCAUCAACCAUCAUGCAUGCAAGCUGAAGAAGCGCAGCGCAGAUGA